UACGAAGGGGGCUAGCGUUGCUCGGAAUGCCUGGGCGUAAAGGGCGCGUAGGCGGCUCGGCACGUCCGUUGUGAAAUCGCCCGGCUCAACUGGGCGGGGUCAGCGGAUACGGUCGAGCUUGAGCAAGCUAGGGGGCAAUGGAAUUCCCGGUGUAGUGGUGGAAUGCGUAGAUAUCGGGAGGAACACCAGUGGCGAAGGCGGUUGCCUGGGGCUUUGCUGACGCUGAUGCGCGAAAGCGUGGGGAGCGAUCCGG
rnacentral:rRNA from 1 species